rnacentral:rRNA from 1 species
GACGAACGCUGGCGGCGUGCUUAACACAUGCAAGUCGAACGGAAAGGCCCUGCUUUUGUGGGGUGCUCGAGUGGCGAACGGGUGAGUAACACGUGAGUAACCUGCCCUUGACUUUGGGAUAACUUCAGGAAACUGGGGCUAAUACCGGAUAGGAGCUCCUGCUGCAUGGUGGGGGUUGGAAAGUUUCGGCGGUUGGGUAUGGACUCGCGGCUUAUCAGCUUGUUGGUGGGGUAGUGGCUUACAAAGGCUUUGACGGGUAGCCGGCCUGAGAGGGUGACCGGCCACAUUGGGACUGAGAUACGGCCCAGAAUCCUACGGGAGGCAGCAGUGGGGAAUAUUGCACAAUGGGCGGAAGCCUGAUGCAGCAACGCCGCGUGCGGGAUGACGGCCUUCGGGUUGUAAACCGCUUUCGCCUGUGACGAAGCGUGAGUGACGGUAAUGGGUAAAGAAGCACCGGCUAACUACGUG